CACAGCUAUUUAACAAUGGCAGAGACGAAGCAGGAAGAGAGAGCGGAGACAACUACACUUUUAAAUGGAGCAAGGAGCAUACGGAGGAGUUCAUCAGGCUCAGAGCGGUGCAUGAAAACAUGUUCACGGGGGCAAAGAAUAGUGCCAGUGUGGCAUGGAGGUAAGACAAUAAACAAAUAUUUACAUCUUGUAUUUAAAAGUUAUUCUAAUGAUUCUAAUCCUAUACAAAGGCUAAAAUAAAAAGACAAUCCAGUAGGGAAAAAAACACAUCCAAUGAUUAUUUGGGGGAUUUUGUGUCUGUCUUGCUGUCACCUUUUCCAAUAUUUGUGUCCUUGUGUUAUCAUGAUUGAUUUGUGUUUCCCUUUUUUUCUCGUUUCUCUCUGUGUUGAGGACAAUCCUGGAGAAAAUGGGCCUGCAGGGGAAGGUGACUCCCCUGCAGGCUAAGAAGAAGUGGGACAACCUUAAAAAAAUAUAUAAAGUAUGUACAUGAGAUCUGGAAAUUGAAUUAUUUGUUUUACCCAUGCAAGUUAAUAAACACUUUGCUGAAAA